rnacentral:lncRNA from 1 species
UAUGGAGAUUCCCAGGCUAGGUUUCAAUCAGAGCUACAGCUGCUGGCCUACACCACAGCCACAGCAACGCAGGAUCUGAGCUGCGUCUGCAACCUACACCACAGCUCAGGACAACGCCAGAUCCUUAACCCAGGAUCGAACCCGCAACCUCAUGGCUCUUGGUCAGAUUUGUUUCUGCCGCACCACGAUGGGAACUCCGAAUUAAAGAAAUCUUAAUCUUAUACUACUGUGCUUUCCUAAAUUCUAAUAUCUCAACCAAUUUGUAGAAGCUACCUAAGGCUGCAGAAAGAUGAACACUAAAAGAUGAAUGUCAGCAUUUCAGCUUGAACAUUUUUUAUAUCUGCAUGAAUCAUAAUGUCAAAUUUUGAACUGCAUAAAAAUCGUCAGGUUGAGUUUUCAAAUUUAACAACAAAAAAUAGCCAUAAUAACUAUGCUAACAUUGCUUUUGAAGCAGUCAGUUAUAGGUAAUACGUGCCAUAAUUUUCCAACAGUUAUUAUGAGGCUUGAGGAAAAAAUGAUUUAAAAGCUGAGCAAAAAGUUCAUUAAAAUGUCUUAAAAAUGUUCUUUUACAGCAUCUCAAUUGUACAAAGCUUCCCAUCUGUGAAAAAGCAUUGCCAGCCCUGGUUUCUACUACUUGAUGCCUAUAGCUGAGACUUUCUUUUAAUUUAGGGGGCUAAAAAGGUAAGGCCAAAGAUAAUCUUAUGGCCUUGGGCGUAUAAGACAGACAUAAUUCUUUUUCAGCGAGAUGUGCAAAGGAUGAAAGCCCUGAAUUGUUCCACUAUUGCAGAGGUAAUGGUAGCUGAUUAAAGCCACAAUGCUCUCAGCUCUUCCCAGCAUUGGGAGGGGCUUUUCUGGAUCCCUGGAUGGGCUUUUCUGGAUCCCGGGAUGGACUACUCGAAGUUUAUGUUAAAGUAUGUAUGCAGGCAUAUGCACACCAUGAAGAGCUACUUACUCUUUUGAAUCUUUUUUUUUUUUUUUUCUACUUUCAAGCCUAUUUGAGUAUCCUUCUGGGUUCUACUUCUUUGUUCUAGUCUAUGGCCUGGGCAUUUCUAAGGCCUGUUCUUGCUUUUAAGCAUAAUCGCUAAUUUAAUAUUCACAAGGACUCUGUUUUCUAAGAGUUCACAAUUGAUUAAUGAGGAAGAGGAGGUACCUUCCUGAGCAUUUAAAUUCCAAUACAAGAUAGAACGAGUGUGUAAAGUGAAAUGGGAGAACAAAGGAAGGACAUGAGUAGAGAAUUUUGAAAAUAUGGGGGAAAGGACAUUUCUGAUGCUGAAGACAGUAAGAGCAAAACAACGCUGAAGUAUUGGGCACAAUGGGAAAGAGGAUCCACUUGAUAACAGAGGAGAAUGUU